UCUAAGAUCACCCGUUUUCUUAGACACCAAGAAAAUCGAAGACAAGAAUUCAUCCUCACGGUGGUUCACCUGGACAACAUCUCUGUUUUUCAAAAGCUUUACGACUUCUGCAUUAAUUAGCAUAAUUUCUGAUUCCGGAAAAUUGGAUCGUCCAGGAAUAAAUUCUUGCCAAGGAGUUCGCUCAAACUCCAGGUGGUAUCCUUGUAUAGUUUCAAGAACCCACUUGUCAAAAGUGAUUUUAGACCACUCAUCAACCCUGUUAGCCACAUAUACCAACAGGGGAAAUACUAUGUGGAGUUGAACUCACAUUGUUUACUUGUUGUCGCGGUUGAUUGCCGCUUUUGACCCUUGGUAUCUCUUCUUGUAUGGUCUCGACAAGUCUUGGUUCUUUUUUCCAUGCGUCUUUCCCCACGCAGAAUUGGGCUUCUGGCGCGGUAAAAAAGACGAAUUCCUCUGCCUGUUGUUGUUGUUGUUGUUGUUAUUGUUGUUGUUACGGUAACCACCUCGCGAUCGGCGGCGCUGAGAAACAGACGAGCUGGCCGAUAUUUUUGUAGCAACUUUGUUCGCCUUUGAUGUCUCAUCGACAAAGUCGUCGCCAAACAACUGAGUAGUUACUGGCGUUGAAGCCGAACAUAGCGAUUGAGAAUUCUUGCUAAGCUCAGGCUUUAGCAGGUCUCUCCUCUUAAGAGAAGUGAGAUAACCCGCAUGGCCUACAAAUGUGAUCUGACAUCAGCAUCUGACAGAGGGCCAAUAAAAGAUCCGGGCUUCUCGCUUUGGCAGUUCGUUCCACAGAGUAGAAUUAACUCUAGGAACAUACAACAUCUCGCAGUUGACAGGAGAUUUUAAAUUGUCCAUUUUUCGAGCGGCAUAGACGUGAACGACUCAUUCACGCGACUAGCAAGAGUCUUCGCCACUUCCGGAUUCACUUUCGUCGAAAAUCGACGGAGGUCGCAAGAAAGGGGAGAACACUAGUAAGCUAGGGAUAGGACUCGCAAUAUUGAUAAUUUUACAAGAAUAACAGAUAUCUCGAUUCGUGUGAUUCGAAAGCUGACGCGUUUUUCCGAUAUAUAAGAACCCCCACACUAAACAGCCUCCUUAUGUUGGUUUCCAAAAAAAACUAUUUCAGCUAUUUAUUUUAUUUGGUCUUGAUUUUUCAGAAAUAUUUUGAUUGAUUCCCAUUAUUUUUUCUCAAAAAAUAAUCUAAAUAAAAGGAAAGUGAUUGUAACGUUUUAAGGAAGAAAGCAUGUUUAGAAACGUUCAUGAAAGUUUACAAGCUCAUCUUUAUGGACACUUUGGUGAGAUUUUACUGAAAUUUUGACAGCGAGAAGUUCGUACCACCUACCGUCAUUCAGAUCCAGAGCGGAUGGAGCGUUGCGCUGACAAAUGCACACAACAAGAAUUAAAGAAACAAUUAUCCUGUUGCUACAAGACAUAAUGCAAUCUUUGUGUGCCAAAUACGUCACAGGACUUUCUUGUUGCAGUUGCAAGCAUAGAAGGUUCUGAUGUAACCACGUUAUUCGCGUCAGGAUAACACAAGGCUACUGGUCAUCGAUUAUUAUUAUUAUUGGUACAAUGAUGUAAGCCCCAUCGACACCGGGCCAAGUGGCCAUAGUUUUGAAGAGUGUCGAUCAAUCACUCCUUUUUGUUUGUUUCAAAAUUAAUUAAUUUAUUUAUUAAGUAAUUAAAAGCUUUUUUUGGCAA